rnacentral:rRNA from 1 species
UUAAAAACAUGUCCUUUUGAAUAUAAUUUAAGGUCUGACCUGCCCACUGAAUAAUUAAAUGGCCGCGGUAAUUUGACCGUGCUAAGGUAGCAUAAUCAUUAGUUUUUUGAUUGAAAGCUGGAAUGAAGGGUUGGAUGAGAAAAUAUCUGUUUCUAUUUAAUUUUAAUUGAAUUUUAUUUUUAAGUUAAAAAGCUUAAAUUUUAUUAAAAGACGAGAAGACCCUUUAGAGUUUUAUAUAAAAUUUAAUUUAAUGUAUUAGUAAUAUAAGUAUGAAUUAAUUUUUAUAAUUAAUUGGGGUGAUUGAAAAAUUUAAUUAACUUUUUUUAUAUUUUAAACAUUGAUUUAUGAUUUUUUGAUCCAUAUAUUUUGAUUAUAAGAUUAAAUUACCUAAGGGAUAACAGCGUAAUUUUUUUUGAGAGUUCUAAUCGAUAAAAAAGAUUGCGACCUCGAUGUUGGAUUAAAAUUUAUUUUUGGUGUAGGAGCUAAAAAAUUAGGUCGCUCCUACCUAU